rnacentral:rRNA from 1 species
CUGGGUUAAAUCCCGGUUGCAAGGCGUAGAGAUACGUCCCCCUCGCAAGAGGCGGCUGGGAAGGUGCUGCAUGGCUGUCGUCAGCUCGUGUCGUGAGAUGUUGGGUUAAGUCCCGCAACGAGCGCAACCCUUACCACUAGUUGCCAGCGAUUCGGUCGGGCACUCUAGCGGAACUGCCGGUGAUAAACCGGAGGAAGGUGGGGAUGACGUCAAGUCAUCAUGGCCUCUAUGUCCAGGGCUACACACGUGCUACAAUGGCAGGUACAAACCGUAGCAAACCCGCGAGGGGGAGCCAAUCGGAAAAAGCCUGUCUCAGUUCGGAUUGCAGUCUGCAACUCGACUGCAUGAAGUUGGAAUCGCUAGUAAUCGCAGAUCAGCACGCUGCGGUGAAUACGUUCCCGGGUCUUGUACACACCGCCCGUCACACCACGAAAGUGGGCUGUACUAGAAGUGGCCGGGCUAACCCGCAAGGGAGGCAGGUCACGACGGUAUGGUUCAUGAUUGGGGUG